GAGGUUACUGCUAUCGAGGUUCGACUAAGCCAUGCGAGUCGAAUGUAGCAAUACAUGGCGAACUGCUCAGUAACACGUGGACAACCUGCCCUUAGGACGGGGAUAAACCCGGGAAACUGGGUAUAAUACCCGAUAGGUCUCGAUUGCUGGAAUGCAUCGAGAUUUAAAGCUCCGGCGCCUAAGGAUGGGUCUGCGGCCUAUCAGGUAGUAGUGGGUGUAGCGUACCUACUAGCCUACGACGGGUACGGGUUGUGAGAGCAAGAGCCCGGAGAUGGAUUCUGAGACACGAAUCCAGGCCCUACGGGGUGCAGCAGGCGCGAAAACUUUACAAUGCUGGCAACAGCGAUAAGGGAACCUCGAGUGCCAGGUUACAAAUCUGGCUGUCGAGAUGCCUAAAAAGCAUUUCAUAGCAAGGGCCGGGCAAGACCGGUGCCAGCCGCCGCGGUAACACCGGCGGCUCGAGUGGUAACCGUUAUUAUUGGGUCUAAAGGGUCUGUAGCCGGCCGGAUAAGUCUCUUGAGAAAUCUGGCAGCUUAACUGUCAGGCUUUCAGGAGAUACUGUCUGGCUCGAGGCCGGGAGAGGUGAGAGGUACUUCAGGGGUAGGGGUGAAAUCUUGUAAUCCUUGAAGGACCACCAGUGGCGAAGGCGUCUCACCAGAACGGACCUGACGGCAAGGGACGAAAGCUAGGGGCACGAACCGGAUUAGAUACCCGGGUAGUCCUAGCCGUAAACGAUACUCGCUAGGUGUCGGCCACGGUGCGACCGUUGUCGGUGCCGUAGGGAAGCCGUGAAGCGAGCCACCUGGGAAGUACGGCCGCAAGGCUGAAACUUAAAGGAAUUGGCGGGGGAGUACCACAACGGGUGGAGCUUGCGGUUU
rnacentral:rRNA from 1 species